AAGUCGUAACAAGGUUUCCGUAGGUGAACCUGCGGAAGGAUCAUUAUUGAAUUUGGGUUUCCAUAUUCUUACACCUGUGCACUUUUUGUAGGCCAAUUUAUUUGGUCUAUGUCUUUUUAAUAACACAUCUUUGUAACUGUGAAUGGAAAUGGGAUAAAUAAUACAACUUUCAACAACGGAUCUCUUGGCUCUCGCAUCGAUGAAGAACGCAGCGAAAUGCGAUAAGUAAUGUGAAUUGCAGAAUUCAGUGAAUCAUCAAAUCUUUGAACGCACCUUGCGCUCCUUGGUAUUCCGAGGAGCAUGCCUGUUUGAGUGUCAUUAAAUUCUCAAAAGUCUUUCUUUUAAGACUUUUUGGACUUGGAGUGUUUGCUGGCUUCAUCCAAGUCAGCUCCUCUUAAAUGCAUUAGCUUGUGCUCUGUGGAUUAGGCUUUGGUUUGAUAGUAUCUAUGCCAUCGCUUUUGAAACAAAUAGUCAGCUUCUAACAACCAUCCUCUGACAUUUUGACCUCAAAUCAGGUAGGACUACCCGCUGAACUUAA
rnacentral:rRNA from 1 species